GACGAACGCUGGCGGCGUGCUUAACACAUGCAAGUCGAACGGAAAGGCCCUGCUUUUGUGGGGUGCUCGAGUGGCGAACGGGUGAGUAACACGUGAGUAACCUGCCCUUGACUUUGGGAUAACUUCAGGAAACUGGGGCUAAUACCGGAUAGGAGCUCCUGCUGCAUGGUGGGGGUUGGAAAGUUUCGGCGGUUGGGGAUGGACUCGCGGCUUAUCAGCUUGUUGGUGGGGUAGUGGCUUACCAAGGCUUUGACGGGUAGCCGGCCUGAGAGGGUGACCGGCCACAUUGGGACUGAGAUACGGCCCAGACUCCUACGGGAGGCAGCAGUGGGGAAUAUUGCACAAUGGGCGGAAGCCUGAUGCAGCAACGCCGCGUGCGGGACGACGGCCUUCGGGUUGUAAACCGCUUUCGCCUGUGACGAAGCGUGAGUGACGGUAAUGGGUAAGAAGCACCGGCUAACUACGUG
rnacentral:rRNA from 1 species